AUCAAAAACAUGUCCUUUUGUUUUUAUCUAAGGUCUGACCUGCCCAAUGAUUUAUUUAAUGGCCGCGGUAUUUUAACUGUGCUAAGGUAGCAUAAUCAUUUGUCUUUUAAUUGAAGGCUGGUAUGAAUGGUUGGACGAGGCAUAAACUUUCUUUAAUUUAAUUUAUGAAUUUAAUUUUUUAGUUAAAAAGCUAAAAUUUAUUUGUUGGACGAGAAGACCCUAUAGAUCUUGAUAUUUAAUUGUUCUGGUAAUUUGGUUGAUUUAUUAUUUAGAUUAAUGUAGGUAUUUGGUUGGGGUGACUUUGGAAUUUUAAUAACUUCUGUUUUUUAUUUUCAUUUAUUUAUGUAUUAUUGAUCCAUUAUUAAUGAUUAUAAGAUUAAGUUACCUUAGGGAUAACAGCGUAAUUCUUUUGGAGAGUUCAUAUCGAUGAAAGGGUUUGCGACCUCGAUGUUGGAUUAAAAUAAGUAUUAGAUGCAGUAGUUUACUUACUAGGUCUGUUCGACCUUUAAUUUUUUACAUGAUCUGAGUUCA
rnacentral:rRNA from 1 species